UACAGGGGGGUGCAAACGUUGCUCGGAAUCAUUGGGCGUAAAGCGCACGUAGGCGGUUCGUUAUGUCGGAUGUGAAAGCCCCUUGGCUUAACCGAGGAAGUGCAUCCGAAAACUGGCGAGCUAGAGUACGAAAGAGGAUCGCGGAAUUCCCGGUGUAGAGGUGAAAUUCGUAGAUAUCGGGAGGAACACCGGUGGCGAAGGCGGCGAUCUGGGUCGAUACUGACGCUGAGGUGCGAAAGCGUGGGGAGCAAACAGG
rnacentral:rRNA from 1 species